rnacentral:sRNA from 1 species
UCGUGUGUCUCUCUCUCAGUGUGGCGCAGAAACGGUCGCGCGUUUAAGUUCUCCGGCUAAAAGGCAGCUUAAUACAUUUGAUUGCGAUUGUUAAUCACGCUCAUACGAUUAAGUACGAAAUUAUUUUGGCUAAUCUAGUGCUAUACAAUUGUGCGUGCGUGUGUCUGUGUCGCGGCAACGGAUUCGUAUUCGUUACAGCGCUGCUGUUUUAAUACAAUUGUUGCUUUUUUUUUUUUUUUUGUUUUGUUCGAAAUGUGUCGUAAUUAAAUCAUAUACAUAUACAUGCAAACAUAAUUAUUAUUAUUUAUAUUUAAUUGUUCAAAUAAAAACAACAACAGCGACAGCUGCCAGGCAAUUGAAGUGCGAGAACGGGGGGAAAAAAAAGCGCUAUACGCGAAUUAAAGUGUGUGGAGAGUGCGCGCAAUUUGGAAUUGGAGCAACAACAACCGUACGGUCGACGCCGCCGUCGACGCCGAAGCCGACGCCGACGCCACUGCCAAUUGUCCAGCUCUUUCACAAUCUUUGCAGCCUGCCCAGCACUUUUCAAUCAUGUAUGCGUGAGUGUGUGUGCGCGAUUGUGUGUGCGUGUGUGUGUGUGCUGCCCACCUGCCGCAUAGGCAAAUCGAGCACGUUAAUUAAAUGUCAACAGUUUUCAAGCUGAGAAGCGCGCGGGACGCGAAAGGACGCGGAGCUCAGACCGAAACCGAAACUGAAACCGAAGCGGAGGCAGAAGCUGAACCUGAAGCUGAAGCUGAAGAGGAAGAGGAAACAGCAGCAUAUGCGGAGGCUGAAAUAAAAGACGACGGCAACGAAUUGAAAUUGUGCAAAAUGUUUGCAUGACUGUCAAAUAAAUCAUAAGAAGCGCAACAUAAACGAAACAACAACAACAACAACAACAGCAACAACAGCAACAGAAACAACAACAACAACAAACAUGGUUAAUGCUGUGAUGGAUGCCAUUGCGCUGCUCAGCUCGCUGGCCAGCGAUUUGGAUGUGAUGCUGAAUGAUUUGCGUUCAGCGCCCAAUCAUGGUACGACAACAACAACAGCGGCAACAGCAACAGCAACAGCAGCAACAGCAACAGCAAUGAC